AGAUUUUACAGGAAUACUUCGAGUAGAAGUGAACUUUGUUUUUUCCCUUUUGCUCGAGGAGGUUUUCCACGAUAACCUUGUGUGUUCUUUACUUUACUGUUUAGACGACCUUAAAGGAACCAGGCCUCUAAUUAUUCGUCAUACUGAUCACGGCUGUAAUCAGUGAAGCCAUCAAGAAUGGAGUAGGUCGUCCACCACCAGACUUUUUCUGGAGUUGCUUUCCUGAUGGCCGGUAAAAAUGAGUACGAUCAGUGAGGAGACGUGAAAUGCCAUGGUAAAGAAAGCGAUAUUAAGGAAGGACAUAAGAGUUUCCCGAGCGUGCAUACAAGGUCAUUUGCUGGUCUCGGGUUUCUAUCGUUGUAUGUAGCAGGGAAGAUAAAAGCAUUUGAUCGUCGAGGGCAUGUAGCAAAACUAUGCAUAGUUUUUCUUCCUCUCCUAAUGGCAUCUCUUGUCGGGGUCUCACGUGUGGAUGACUACUGGCAUCAUUGGCAAGACGUGUUCGCUGGAGGAUUGAUAGGUUCGUCUUGAACUUCUACAUUGCGUUUCAGUUGAUAAUAUACUCCAUGUCUUCGGCGUUUCAGGCCUUUUCGUUGCUACAUUCUGUAACCUGCAGUUCUUCCCAGCUCCGUUCCAUACUGAAGGUUGGGGACCAUAUGCAUAUUUCCGAUCAGUGGAGGAGGUUCGUAGCAGCAGACAACACGUUCAACCUGCUAACGGAGGAUCAGAGGUAGCACGUCCCGAUGUACAACUAAAUCAGCAGUCGCAUACAACUACUAGUCCUUUUGAGGAUGUGUAAUAUGGAAGAAUGUGAGACAUAAGACACUGUAAACUUAUGUUUAUCUUUGUUCAAUGUGUUCACUAGCUCAGUUUGUUAUUUUACUUGUGUAUAUUUAAGGUUGAUUUUGUUGUAUGUUUAAGUAUUUUUAGCUUUAGGAACCUAUUUGAUUACUGAAAUUCUAAGAAGUCCUUCGGGAUGGCUCAGUUAGUUUGAAAGGAGGUUCACAGGUUUGAACCCCUCUAUGCCUUCUGAGUCGAGUUUGUCGCACAGGACUUGUCUAGUGUAGUUUGCAGGCUAUUACACAGUGGGGGUUAAAGCCAGUGCGCACAAAGUGCUCACCCGAAGGUCAGAGACUAUUGUAGCGAUUGCGAGUUAUCUGGGGUUCCAAAAAAAAAAAAAUACAUAUUCGAAGAAGAUAUACAUUUUCGCUUGAUAUGUUAUACAUUGUCACACUA